GAGUGGCGGACGGGUGAGUAAUGCUUGGGAACUUGCCUUUGCGAGGGGGAUAACAGUUGGAAACGACUGCUAAUACCGCAUAAUGUCUUCGGACCAAACGGGGCUUCGGCUCCGGCGCAAAGAGAGGCCCAAGUGAGAUUAGCUAGUUGGUAAGGUAACGGCUUACCAAGGCGACGAUCUCUAGCUGUUCUGAGAGGAAGAUCAGCCACACUGGGACUGAGACACGGCCCAGACUCCUACGGGAGGCAGCAGUGGGGAAUAUUGCACAAUGGGGGAAACCCUGAUGCAGCCAUGCCGCGUGUGUGAAGAAGGCCUUCGGGUUGUAAAGCACUUUCAGUUGUGAGGAAAAGUUAGUAGUUAAUACCUGCUAGCCGUGACGUUAACAACAGAAGAAGCACCGGCUAACUCCGUGCCAGCAGCCGCGGUAAUACGGAGGGUGCGAGCGUUAAUCGGAAUUACUGGGCGUAAAGCGCACGCAGGCGGUUUGUUAAGCUAGAUGUGAAAGCCCCGGGCUCAACCUGGGAUGGUCAUUUAGAACUGGCAGACUAGAGUCUUGGAGAGGGGAGUGGAAUUCCAGGUGUAGCGGUGAAAUGCGUAGAUAUCUGGAGGAACAUCAGUGGCGAAGGCGACUCCCUGGCCAAAGACUGACGCUCAUGUGCGAAAGUGUGGGUAGCGAACAGGAUUAGAUACCCUGGUAGUCCACACCGUAAACGCUGUCUACUAGCUGUGUGUGUCUUUAAGACGUGCGUAGCGAAGCUAACGCGCUAAGUAGACC
rnacentral:rRNA from 1 species